rnacentral:RNase_P_RNA from 1 species
CAGGAGGACCGGGCGGUCGCUGCCGGAUGCUCGAGCGCAAGCGAGAGCGGCCGGGGGAGGAAAGUCCGAACUCCGCAGGGCAGUGUGCCGGAUAACGUCCGGGACGCGGGCGUUAAGGCCCGUGGACGGCCAGUGCCACAGAGAACAUACCGCCUCGGCUACCCCGUCUUUUGGCGGGACUCCCCGGGCCGGUCCGCCUCAAUUGAGUUGGCGGCCGGCCCGGUGCCGGGGUAAGGGUGAAAAGGUGCGGUAAGAGCGCACCGCUGCGACGGUAACGGCGCAGGCAUGGUAAACCCCACACGGAGCAAGACCAAAUAGGGAGGGAAGCCGCGGGCAAGGAGCGAUGCCCGUGCUCGGUGCCGGCCCGGCGCCGAAAGCCCGCUCCAUGCAAUGGCGAAACCUCCGGGUAGGUCGCUGAUGAGCGCGAGCGGUAACGCUCCGCCUAGAGGAAUGACCGCACACGACAGAAUUCGGCUUACAGGUCCUUUUGCCGA